ensembl:lncRNA
CUGACAACUAGCAAUUGGAACCUCAAGCAGAGAUGGUGUAAGUUCAUGCAGACAAGUGUCAGAAAAUCAAAGACAAGUCUAAGGCAAGCUGUCAAGAAGUGGCCGGUCUGAAGUUGUUGAGGAGAGUGGGGCACAUAUCAAGAUGUGCAAGGAUCAAGAGCUCUACAGAAAAGCUGUUUUGAGCUUGGGAGACAAAAAAGACUGAAUUCAACUCAGAUGGUUCAAAGAAAGAUAUGACCUACAGAGAUACAGCCAAGGUAAAGUGAAACUACAAGAGUUGUUGAGACAUCCAUAGUGAGCAGAAUGGGAUGCUCGUUCUUUCCCUAGUCUUAAAGGACUGGGGGUGAAAUA